AGGUUGACUUCGAUAUAUCAGUUGCACAUAUAGGUGCACUACACUUUGAGGAGUUCAGAUAUUACUCCGUUCACACAUCCUUUAAACGAUAGGUUCUAGGGUUGUCUGACUAUAGGGGUGAUUCGUUGGUGGCCUCUAGUUGAUGUUGAUAGGUUGACUUCGAUAUAUCAGUUGCCUGUGGGAUCGAGAUA